AUCCAACUGACGAGUCUCAAAAUAGGACGAAACACGCGUUAUACUGGAU
rfam:Schistosoma rodhaini strain Burundi genome assembly, scaffold: SROB_scaffold0015309